rnacentral:rRNA from 2 species
UACGUAGGGGGCGAGCGUUGUCCGAAGUCACUGGGCGUAAAGCGCGCGUAGGCGGUCUUUUAAGUUGGAUGUGAAAUCCUGCGGCCCAACCGCAGAACUGCAUCCAAAACUGGGAGACUUGAGGAUGGAAGAGGGCAGUGGAAUUCCUGGUGUAGCGGUGAAAUGCGUAGAUAUCAGGAGGAACACCCGUGGCGAAGGCGGCUGCCUGGUCCAUAUCUGACGCUGAGGUGCGAAAGCCAGGGGAGCGAACGGG